rnacentral:tmRNA from 1 species
GGGGGCGACAUGGCUUCGACGUGGGUUGCGAAGCAGGACAGGGCAUACCGAGGGCCAGUGACCUCGUAAAUCCAUCUGGAACGCAUUAACUGCCAACGACGAGCGUUUCGCUCUAGCCGCUU